GAUGAACGCUGGCGGCGUGCCUAAUACAUGCAAGUCGAGCGAACAGACGAGGAGCUUGCUCCUCUGACGUUAGCGGCGGACGGGUGAGUAACACGUGGAUAACCUACCUAUAAGACUGGGAUAACUUCGGGAAACCGGAGCUAAUACCGGAUAAUAUAUUGAACCGCAUGGUUCAAUAGUGAAAGACGGUUUUGCUGUCACUUAUAGAUGGAUCCGCGCCGCAUUAGCUAGUUGGUAAGGUAACGGCUUACCAAGGCAACGAUGCGUAGACGACCUGAGAGGGUGAUCGGCCACACUGGAACUGGGACGCGGUCCAGACUCCUACGGGAGGCAGCAGUAGGGAAUCUUCCGCAAUGGGCGAAAGCCUGACGGAGCAACGCCGCGUGAGUGAUGAAGGUCUUCGGAUCGUAAAACUCUGUUAUUAGGGAAGAACAAAUGUGUAAGUAGCUAUGCACGUCUUGACGGUACCUAAUCAGAAAGCCACGGCUAACUACGUG
rnacentral:rRNA from 1 species